rnacentral:rRNA from 1 species
CCUACGGGAGGCAGCAGUCGAGAAUCAUUCACAAUGGGGGAAACCCUGAUGGUGCGACGCCGCGUGGGGGAAUGAAGGUCUUCGGAUUUUAAACCCCUGUCAUGUGGGAGCAAAUUAAGAAGAUAGUACCACAAGAGGAAGAGACGGCUAACUCUGUGCCAGCAGCCGCGGUAAUACAGAGGUCUCAAGCGUUGUUCGGAAUCACUGGGCGUAAAGCGUGCGUAGGCUGUUUCGUAAGUCGUGUGUGAAAGGCGCGGGCUCAACCCGCGGACGGCACAUGAUACUGCGAGACUAGAGUAAUGGAGGGGGAACCGGAAUUCUCGGUGUAGCAGUGAAAUGCGUAGAUAUCGGGAGGAACACUCGUGGCGAAGGCGGGUUCCUGGACAUUAACUGACGCUGAGGCACGAAGGCCAGGGGAGCGAAAGGGAUUAGAUACCCUAGUAGUC